rnacentral:rRNA from 1 species
UACGUAGGUGGCAAGCGUUGUCCGGAAUUAUUGGGCAUAAAGCGCGCGCAGGCGGUUCUUUUAAGUCUGAUGUGAAAGCCCACGGCUCAACCGUGGAGGGUCAUUGGAAACUGGAGAACUUGAGUACAGAAGAGGAAAGCGGAAUUCCACGUGUAGCGGUGAAAUGCGUAGAGAUGUGGAGGAACACCAGUGGCGAAGGCGGCUUUCUGGUCUGUAACUGACGCUGAGGCGCGAAAGCGUGGGGAGCAAACAGG